UAUUAGACUGGUGCAAAAGUAAUCGUGGUUUUUGUGAUUACUUUCAAUGGCAAAAACUGCAAUUACUUUUGCACCAACCUAAUAUUUU
ensembl:miRNA